rnacentral:lncRNA from 1 species
GUCACUGUCAAUUACUGUAACAAACUUAAAAUUUUUGUAUAUUUGUGUGUUUUUCUAAAAAAUUAGAGGUGAUCGAACAGUUAAACCAUCGCUUCUGUUAAACAUGUUCUGAAAUUCAGUACAAUUGUAGACUACUUUUUGGAAGCUGAAAGCUGACGAAAUGAAACUUAUUUUCACAGGAGAAAAUGCAUUGAAAUCCAACCAUUUGAAAAAGUUUUCAUUUUGUGGCAAGCUUUGGACUAUUAAAAGUACAUACCAGUAUGAGAGAUCGUAUUUAUAUCUAAUGUUCAGGUAGAACUUGAUGAAGAUAGCUCAAUUCAUAGAUCAGAAUGUAAGAGGCCUAUACUUAUGCCAUCACAAAGCUACCUUAUGCAUUUAUGGACGUUAUAUCAGUUACCAAUACCCAAAGUCGAUGGACUGCCAGGAAAUAAAGAGGAAGGGACGAAAACAAAUA